UACAAAUUCACUUUACUCUGCUCGGCUAAGCCGCACGACAAACGUUUGUGCUAAUUUCUCAUCCAAUAUUUAACUAAAUUGAACCAAAAUUUAAUCAAUUUGUCCUUGGGCAAAGUCCAUUAGUCCGACUGAUUUUCGUGUUAAUACGUUUGAUAUUUUGUAAGUUAUCGUGCUGGCAAACAAACGCACACACACACACAUACAAACAUAGAUGGAAACCUAACCUCCUGUCGGAGAUAACUCGGCAGUGUGAGUUACCAGAAUAUUUAAAUUGCCUUGCUUUCAUUUCUCAUUUUCAAACCAAGUACAUGAAGGACGUGAUUGUGCAUCAGUAUUCAGUAUAAAUCUUGCCUCAGGUUUUAGCCUAAUUUGGCUCCUAAUUUGGUUACACGUAACCAUUUUUAUAAAAAAUGCCGCUACAAAUACGUGGGAUUUAAGUGUACCGGUAGUCUUUCAUACAAUAAAAUGUUGCUGGUUUGCGUCUAAACUACAAUUCUUUGACGUGUCGACCGAAUUAAAGGAAGGUCUAAGAAUAAGGAAGACGAAAUUAUCGAUUUAUUGGCCACCGCUAUAAAUUUCCUGCAUGACGAAGAGAUGUCUCUUGAAACAUCGAAAUAUUUCCAAAUCAUGCACAUGCAGCAAUUAUAUUCCUAUUAAUAUCAUUCGUUUGACGUAUACACGCGAUAUUUAUG